rnacentral:rRNA from 1 species
AGAGUUUUAUUCUGGCUCAGAACGAACGCUGGCAGCGUGGAUUAGGCAUGCAAGUCGAACGCAAAUCUUCCGGUUCAAUCUUUCGGGAAAGAACUGGGGGAGGAGAGUGGCGAAAGGGUGAGGAACACGUGGGUAACCUGCCCCUAAGUUCGGGAUAACCUUGCGAAAGCGGGGCUAAUACCGGAUGUGAUGGUCCGUCUCACGACGGAUUGAUUAAAGGUGGACUCCUUUGGAUCUGCCGCUUAGAGAGGGGCCCGCGUCCUAUCAGCUUGUUGGUGAGGUAACGGCUCACCAAGGCUUACGGGUAGCUGGUCUGAGAGGAUGGUCAGCCACACUGGGACUGAGACACUGCCCAGACUCCUACGGGAGGCUGCAGUCGAGGAUCAUUCGCAAUGCGCGAAAGCGUGACGAUGCGACGCUGCGUGGAGGAUGACGGCCUUCGGGUUGUAAACUCCUGUCAUCAGGGAACAAUAACGGACGGGUUAAUACCCCGAUCGUCUGAUAGUACCUGAAGAGGAAGCCACGGCUAACUCUGUGCCAGCAGCCGCGGUAAUACAGAGGUGGCGAGCGUUGUUCGGAUUUACUGGGCGUAAAGGGUGCGUAGGUGGUACUGCGUGUCGGAUGUGAAAGCCCACGGCUCACCCGUGGAACGGCAUUCGAAACUGCAGAACUUGAGUACAGGAGAGGAGAGCGGAAUUCUUGGUGUAGCGGUGGAAUGCGUUGAUAUCAAGAAGAACACCGGUGGCGUAGGCGGCUCUCUGGAAUGUUACUGACACUGAGGCACGAAAGUUGGGGGAGCAAACAGGAUUAGAGACCCUGGUAGUCCCAACCGUAAACGGUGCGCACUUGGUGUGGGGGGAGUUGACCCCCCCCGUGCCGGAGCUAACGCGUUAAGUGCGCCGCCUGGGGAGUACGGCCGCAAGGCUAAAACUCAAAGAAAUUGACGGGGGCCCGCACAAGCGGAGGAGCAUGUGGCUUAAUUCGAUGCAACGCGAAGAACCUUACCAGGGCUUGACAUGCAAGUGGUACGAAUCUGAAAGGAUGAGGACCCCUCGGGGAGCUUGCACAGGUGCUGCAUGGCUGUCGUCAGUUCGUGCCGUGAGGUGUUGGGUUAAGUCCCGCAACGAACGCAACCCUUAUAAUUAGUUGCCACCGCAGGUGAUGAGCCUGCGAGCACUCUAGUUAGACUGCCCGUGACAAGCGGGAGGAAGGU